GCAAGUCGAGCGGAAACGACACUAACAAUCCUUCGGGUGCGUUAAUGGGCGUCGAGCGGCGGACGGGUGAGUAAUGCCUAGGAAUUUGCCUUGAUGUGGGGGAUAACCAUUGGAAACGAUGGCUAAUACCGCAUGAUGCCUACGGGCCUAAGAGGGGGACCUUCGGGCCUCUCGCGUCAAGAUAUGCCUAGGUGGGAUUAGCUAGUUGGUGAGGUAAUGGCUCACCAAGGCGACGAUCCCUAGCUGGUCUGAGAGGAUGAUC
rnacentral:rRNA from 1 species